AUUCUCAAGAUUAGAUCCAUCCAAAUGAACAAGACCAUAUAUAUAUUUUUAAUUAAACAAAUAUACUGAGAGUAAUGAACUUAUAAAUGAAGUAUCAAUUUAACUUAUAGCAUGCUCUAGAUAAUUGCUUGUUAAUCAUCAAAAUAACACUAUCAUCCUCAGAUGAUCUUGGAUGGAAGACACGUACGGUGCUUGGAUGAGAGCGUGGGAAGGAAGAAGCUGGCUUGGUUGUUAUCCGGAAUGCUAUCGGGAUACUCGGAUGCGGUGCAUGGAGUUGGGGGUCACGGGAGGAUGAAGCCGAGGAAGAGAUAUGCAUCGCGGGAUGGCUUGCGGAUGAGGUUGAAUACAAGCGGCUGUUGGCUUGGUUCGUGGACGUGGAAGGUGAACACGGGCGCGAGGGAAAUCUGGGAAGGUUCAUUGGUUUGAUCCACGGGUGAUGGAAUUCCGUUCUGAAUGGGAUAAACGAGGAUGGUUUACGAAUUCAUGUUGUACUCGGAGGGAUCGAUUGGCUUGGACGAUGGAGCUCCAUUCUGAUAGGAAUAGCUGGCCGAGUGUUGGAUUUGGUUCGGGAGAGUGAUACGGCUUUGUUCUUUGAACAGGCU
rnacentral:lncRNA from 1 species